ensembl:lncRNA
GGCUCUGAUGCUUAAAAUGUUUCACUACACGAUCUCGCCCGUCUAGAUUCCUCUUCCUGUAAUGCUUGUGGAAUUUUACACCGAUAAUAAACCUGUAAUUCAACUUUGCCUCUUUUAUAUUUACUAUCUAGGUGCUGGCAAAUGACACGCCCUCAGAGUUUAAGAAGCCGGACCCGUUUCAGCAUCAACACACCCUACAGCGCUUCUUAUUCACAGCAUACAUAAUCAUCCGUCUUAUCCGUACAGACAUGGAGGCCAGAGUGAUUGUAGCGGUUGUGUUUAUCUGCGCUGUUUGUCGCUUCUCUGAAGCCCAGCUGCAGAACACGACACCACUCACUAACAACAUCACUCGUACUGGUUGCGGCACCACUAAGCUGUGUGUGUCGACUCCGUCUAAUUGCGAUCUUGCAGGAAACUCCAGCUGUUAUUUCAGCUCUACUCAGUACAAUAAUGCAACACUGACCGUGGAACUCUCCGGCACGACUUCAGGAUACGUGGCAUUGGGACUCACACCCACUAGCAGCCUAUUUAAUUUCAAUGGAACUGCUGUGUUCGUCUGUGGCAACAAUAACAACAGCGCCUUCUUCGAAACAGCUAUUCAGAACGGCUCAGUGUUGACUCCUGCUAACCUGACCGCCUUAAAUAUAACCAGUGUUCAGGGUUCAGUAUUGGGAAACGGGAGUCUUGUUCAGUGUGUCUUCAAUGUCACCCUCAAUUCCACCUUCCUCAAUUCCAUCUUCCUCAGUUCAACUGUUCAGCUGUCUUCCAACAUCAGCAUCUAUAAUGGAAGCACAAAUGGAACUGAACUGGAAAAUGCAACUACAUUAAUUACCACCGGACCUUUCGACUUGGCAAAUCCCAAGAGCAAUAUUCCAAGCAACAGCACAACACCACUGCUCAACAUCACUCGUAACGGUUGUGGCGCCACUAAGCUGUGCUUGUCAAAUGCGUCUACUUGCGAUCCAGCAGGAGACUCCAGCUGCUUUUUCAGCUCAUUUCAAGUGAACAACCAAAGUAUCUACUAUGAACUUAGUGGCACGACAUCAGGAUAUGUGGCGCUGGGACUCACUACCCAGAAUUCUACCUUUGUGUUUGUGUGCGCCAACAACACUAACAACAGCAGUUUCUUCUUUCAAACGGCUACUAAAAACGGCUCAGUUCUGACUGCUGCAAAUGUGACCACCGUAAACAGCUAUCAAGGUGUUGUAACACAAAACCUCAUUCAGUGUGUCUUCAACACCAGCGCCACUUUAAGCACCAGAGCUUCUAACACUGUGUACAGGAUCUACCUCAUGAACGGAACCACCAACGGAACUGAACUGGGUAUUGCAACUACACUGUAUACCUCCCCAUCAGCAGUAGACCUGUCUAAUCCUAGUGCCUUAAACACUGCAAACACCAACUUCUGCACUAAUGUGUUGGCUGUGCUGCUCGCCACUCUGACUCUACACCUCAUAUAAAAACCUGCCAUGUUCAUUUUAAUAUAAAAUCCCCAGAGCCUAUAAAUGUGUGUUACAGUAUCUGAUCUGUGCAUGUGUGUUUAUACAUUUAUGAAGCUAUUGUUAAUUGGCUGAACAUGGAACACAUCUGUCAUAUACAGUAUAAACAUCACCCUUUUAUUUAUUUAUUUAUUUUUUUUUUUACAGUCAAUACGAGAAAUUCAUUUGCACUUCCAUAGACGUCAGACUUUUAAAUAUAAAAAUUUAUAAUAACGAGGGCGCAAAUGUUUUGAAUAAAAUCUACUUUAUAUGAUCAUUUUAAUUAUUAAAUAAUUGUAAUUUCAGUAAUUUCAUGCUCAUCAUUUUUAUUUGAGAUACUUUAUACACCUAGGUGAAUGUAAGUUUCCACCCCUAAAACCUUUCUAUAUGUUUUUCACUUUUGUUGGUUGAUAUCAUACUAAAGGUAAACAAAUAUCUAACAUGACUUGAUUUUAUUUUGUUGUUUUUUAAAUAUCAUUUAAACUAUUUUAACAGGUGUGUAGACUUUUUUAUAGUCACUGUGUGAGCUGACAGCUGGGAAAAUACACACGAGUGAAAGCAGCCUUAACGGUGUAUUUCUUUCUUUUUUACAUUUGACCUACAAUGUUGUCUAAAAGCACUCAUGCCGAUUUUGUAAUGAUCUAAACUGCUAAAAUACCUAACUAUAAAAGAUUUCCAUAUCAGCAUAUUUAUACAUUGUCAUAUGUGGGUUUGUUGUUGUUGUUGUGUCACAUUAUUAAGAUGGCCCCAUUUAUAAUGACUACAGUACUGUGCAAAAGUUUUAGGCACCCUAUUUGUUGUUGUUUUUUGUACAAACUUUGUUUGCUUGUUUUUUUUUCAUUUUAUGACGUCUACAUUAUGGAGUUGGUACAAAAAAAAAAACGUUUUAGAUUCCCAAACAUUCGUUUUCUGGCACAAAAGUAAAUGUUACAGAAAAAAGUAAAUCUUACAGUUGUUAAAGAAAGCAGCGUAUUAAGAGGUAACAGAUGACUUUUCAGGCAAAAAAACCAUGACGAACGCUGCUGGGUUUCGCUGCAAAAACAAGAAGUGCGUGCAACAGUCAAAGUCUCCAGAAGGUUCUGCGAGAUGCUCAAUGCCACGGUGAGCUGGCGAGCCUGAAUGCAAUGGUGGUGACAAUAAGAAGAUCAGUGAGUGAUCAGCUUGUCUAACCAGGAGAUCUGCGGAUUGUGGAUUUGCAUCCAUCGGAAGCCUAGGAUGAUGGGGUGCUUAGACAUGACUCUGACCAGGAAUGAGAUCUGCUCCUGAUAGUGUACACUGACUCGUAAGAGGAGGGGCCAUGUGCAGAGGUUGAUGGUGCCUCCCUCGAUGGGCCCACCGUCAAUGGCAUAGAUAUGCAGAGGGUGCUGCAGGGGCUGAGUCGGAAUGUUCAGGUGAGUCACGAAGUAACCAGCUGACCUGAUCCACGCUGUCAAAAGAGAAACCACUUCUGUGUUGUACCAUGACCUGAAGCUGAAGCACAACUGGUGGGAUAAAGACUGAUGAUGCAGUGGCCAUGCCCUCUUCGUAUAAAAAGAGUCACACAACAUCUUCAACUCCAUUAAAUAUCUUUCCUCAUACAAAAUCGCCGAUCAUUUCAUUACAGGUAUGGAGGCCAAACUGAUUGUAGUGGUUAUGUUUGUCUGUGCUGUUUGUCACGGCAUCAAAGCCAAUCUGCAGACACCAAUGAUUGUUAACACUAGCAUCACUAACACUGGCUGUGGAAGCACUAAACUAUGUGUGUCAAGUGCACCUAAUUGUGAUCCUUCAGGAAACUCCAGCUGCUUUUUCAGUUCCAUUCAAGUGAACAACCAAACUGCGUCCAUUGAACUCAGUGGUACAACAUCUGGAUAUGUCGCACUGGGACUUACUGCCAGUAACCAAUCAGAGGGAGGUGCUGUUGUGUUCAUCUGCGGCAACAGCAACACCGUAAACAGCACUUUCUUUUUUAACACUGCUACUCUAAAUGGCACGAUGCUGACGUCUGCUAAUGUGUCCACUGUAAACAGUGUUCAGGGUGCUUUAAGACAAAACCAGAGCCUCGUUCAGUGCACCUUCAACACCACCACCAAUCUGACCAUCAACAACAGCAGCAACUUGAUAAUCAGUAACACCAGCACCUUUUACAUCACCAUCAUGAACGGAAGCUCAAACGGAACAACGCUGAACAAUGCAGCUGUGGUGUUUAAUUACAGCGCACCAUUAGUCCUGACUAACAGCACAGUGAACGUUGUUAGCAGCACCUACACCGUUCAAUCACCGCUCAACAUCAGUCGUAAUGGUUGUGGCAGCUUGAAAAUGUGUUUGUCGACGCCGUCUGCUUGCGAACCUGCAGGAUCCGGCUGCACUUUCAUGUCUUCUAAAGUGAACAACCAAACCAUUUUCUUUGAGCUCAGCGGCAGAACGUCUGGAUAUGUCGCACUGGGACUCACGAAACAGAAUUCCACUUAUGUGUUUGUCUGUGGCAACAACUACAACAGCAGCAGCAACAGCAGCAGUUUUUUCUUUCAAACAGCCACUCAAAACGGCACAGUGUUGACUCCUGCUAGCGUGUCUAAUGUAUACUAUUAUCAGGGUGAAGUAACACAAACCAAGAGUUUUAUUCAGUGCAUCUUCAACAUCACCACCAAUGCCAGUGACAACGUGUACAACAUCACCAUCUUCAGUGGAACCACUAACGGAACACAAAUGGGAACUGCAACAACACUGCUUGCCACCAGAGUAGGUUUAGACCUGUCUAAUUCCAGUGCACCACUCAUCCUGAUCACCCAGAGUCCCCAGACUAAUCCUGCAAAUGGCUGUAACUCAGUAGUCAGCCUCUGGACUCAUGUGUUGGCUGUGCUUCUCAGCGCAAUGAGUCUCCACUUCGUCACUUCACACAGUAUAAAUUAAGUAUAAAUGUGUGUUGAAAGUCACAAGUGUGUGUGUGUGUAUGUGUGUGUGUGGGUAAAAUAUGAAACCAUCCUUAAUUGGCUGAACAUGAAGUCAAGCCUGUAACCUAAAUUAUAUAUUGGCACUCUGUUUUGUAAAUAGAUUUCUGAACUGUGGCUAAAAUGUAAAAAGAAAACCUUUUUGGAAUAUAUAAAUGACAUUAAUUUACACCAAAUCAGAUUCUUUUUUUUCUUUAUAACUGUGAAUUAGAAUGCAAAUGUACUGAAUUAUUAAAGUAUGUUUCUUACGACUUUCAGCUGUUUGUUAAUUAUUCAGAUUUAAUGCCCACAAUAACUAGAGUAAGUAACUGUUAUACUAGCGGCUGUGGUACUAAAUUUGCACAUAAAACAUUUGCAGUCAAGUCUCAAUUGCCAUAAUUAUUAUUUCCAUGGUGCAUUCAGUUAUUUCCAGUGUUCCCAGGACAGAUCCGCUGUGACCCUGACCACGAUGAAGGACUUUCUGAAAAUGAAUGAAUAAAUGGAUGAGUACACUAAACUGAUUCAUCAUAUUAGUUAGAAAAUAUAUCGCAGCCUACUGUACAUGCCUAAGCAAGGAUAGAGAGAUUCCCCCUUUAUAAUAUAGCUACAAGUAUAUGGCUAGCAAUAGCUAAUAUUAAUAGUGUUGAAUGCAAGAGCAGGUAGGUAUGCUCUGCUUGUUUUCCAGGUGUGUGCAGGUCAAUGAAUGCCUGAUAUGAUGUGUGCCUGUACGCUGCUUCUCAUCACACUGCCAAUCAUCACACUGUGGAAAGUUUGGCUGGAGGCACUUUGGUGGGAGAGUUUGGUUGUUUGGUUGACAUUUUCGAGCACCACUUACGGCAUUUGCCAGAUGCCCUUAUCCAGAGCGGCUUACAUUCAUCUCACUUAUACAUUUGAGCAGUUGAGGGUUAAGGGCCUUGCUCAGGGGCCCAGCAGUGGCCCUUGAGCCACUGACCUUCUGGUGAAAAGACCAACGUGCUUAACCACUGAGCUACCACUGCCCCUAGGGUUAGGGUUAGGGGUUAGAGUUAGAUAUAUAAUGCUUAACUUUAGGGAAGCUUGUUUUUGGUUUUGCUUUGUUCUUUCCUUUGUCAAUAACCACAAUCUAGCCUCUGUUUGUUUUUGUUCAGGACUGUUUACUGUUCUAUGUACUGUGUCAUGUGCUUUCUUUUCUGUUGCCUGACCAUGUGGCGUUAAAAAAAAACAGCUCAUUGUGCACAUUAAAUACUUUGAGAUGCAUUCUUCUGUUGUGUUUGUGUGUGUUUAACCCUUUUGGUUGCUGGUUGCCUACACUCAUCAACUGUUGGACAGUACUGUUACAAGCCCCAUUUAUCCCUAGAACUACUCAGUGUACUUGAGGUUGCUGAAAUUAAAAUGUAAGCUUUCGCCAGAGAGGAGAGCAGCGAGUACAAUUGAGUAUUUUAGCAAGAGAACAGAUAGUCACUAGAAUAGAAUAGAAAUUUAUUUUCUGUAUGUGUCCAUUUCAGCUUCCAUCAGACUGUUGGACUGUCCUUAUUGACUCAAAAAGAACCCCACCUCUACUUUCUUGAGACGAGGUUGUUCCUUCUCAGGUCUGUAUGCAGGUCCGAUUUGUCAAACAACUGGCACAUACCUGAAGACUCAGUGUGAGCAGAAUACUUUCUGUAUGGUAGCGGCCCAGCCUCUCUUACUGCUACCUCCAUAUAGCUUGUAGCACUGUCCAUACCAACAGCCUCUCUCAUUGCCAUAUCCACAUUGUGCGCACUGCAUUCAAAACAUCUGAUUUCAACACCUUAGCUAUGUUUAUUCCAUUUUGUACCCUUAAAACUAAGGGUAACAAAGCAACCAAACCAAUGGCAUUUCCACAUUAGUAAGGUUAAAUAAAUUAUGUUUAAUAAUUUUAAAUACAAACUAAUAUGUCAAUCGGUCUGUACUGUGUUUCACUUUUUUAUAUUCAUUCUAUUAAUCUUUUAAAUAAACUGUAUAUGAUUUUGUUUUCUGGAUUUUAAUUAGAGCACCUGUUUAUGGAUUGAAUAAAUGAUGUAAAACAAUCAGUUUAAUGCUGAAUAGUAAGGGAUUAUGAUUGUUACCUGUUACUCCUAAGUAGGAAAGACUUUUUUUUAUUGACAGGGUUUACCAAAAGGUGGAGGUGUAUUUACUAAAAGAAGACUUACUACUUAUAAACCACAGUUCAGGCAGCCAUUUUGAAAAUGAACUUGACUUCUUUUCCCGUGCAAAUUAGCCAACCCCAAGCUCCGCCCCCUUUACCUACAAUUUCUGCCCAGCAACAAGUGAUUAGGAAUUUCGACUCUUUUCAUUGAGUCGGAUCAAGAAGAGUCGACUCUUUCGGCUCGAAAACGGCUCACUGCCUUUUUAUUUCUCUAAACGGAUGAAGCCGUGAUUGUUGUUCUUUGCAUAACUGUGGCUGAAACUUGUUUUAUUAAAUCUCACUCUACUUUAUAAUUGACAAAAUAACCUUGUAUUUGAUUUUAUAAAAUCUAUUAAAAGUAGUUACAUCAGCAAUGAACUGCAUACUGAGAAAAAAAAUCUCUGCAUUUACGUUAUGUAUGGUAUUUUUGUAAAUGGUGUGUCUGUGCUUCAACAUUUAUUUCCACAAAUAAUGUCUUGGGACAUUAAUCAUUGUAUUGUUAAUUAUAUUGUGAUUGUAUGGUGAGGCCAAAGACCAAUUUUCAGCCAAGGCUGAACAAUAAAGUACAACUAACUUA